rnacentral:RNase_P_RNA from 1 species
UAAGAAGAUAAAAUGUCUGCCUGUUUUAUAACAGGAGGAAAGUCCGAGCACCAUAGGGUGGAAUGCUUCUUAACAAGAAGUCCUGGUGACAGGAAGCUAGCUCCACAGAAAUAUACCGCUUAAAAGAGAGUUAAAUCUUCAUUGAGUAAGGGUGAAAAGGUAGUGUAAGAGACUACCAGAUGCCCUGGUGACAGGGUAUGCUAGGAAUGCCUCAUUCGGUGCAAUGCCAAAUAGGGGAGCUUGAGACGACCCGUCUCUAUAACUCUCGGGUAGGCAGCUCAAAUCGACCGUUUACGGACAGAACUGUGUGGCAACACUCGAUUUAGAUGAAUAGACAUUAUGCUACUUUUUAGGUAGUAGACAGAACUCGGCUUAAUAUCUUCUUAUAGC